CAAUUUUGUGCAACUCAUCCAUUUCUAAUAGGAAACAAGAUUGGGAAAAAAAUUUAGUUUAUCUGUAGCAACGAAGGAAGACUUCUAUUAUCCCUAUAUAUCAUCAGAUAAUCGGCGCCUGCUUCGUCUUCCACCACAGUCCAUCUCUCUCUAUUUCGAUGAUGCAACUUGACAUUGUGUGUUCAUUAAGGGACGGAAUAGAGAUAGUACCACAUUUUCACUAUAUCCAAGAAGAAGAAGAUUGUUGGGUUCUCCUCCUUCCUCUAUAUAUAUCAUCAUAUAAUUGGCGUCUGCUUCGUCUUCCACAACAGUCCAUCCCUCUCUCUUUCGAUGAUGCAACUUGACAAUGUGUGUUCAUUAAGGGAUGGAAUAGAGAUAGUACCACAUUUCUACUAUAUCCAAGAAGAAGAAGCUUGUUGGGUUCUCCUCCUUCCUAUGUUCUAAGAUCGAGAAUUGACAUGGAUGGCUUAAAGGGAUGCUGCAUGUGCAAUUCGUUGUGCACUGUUUUAACUUGUAACCUCAUUUUGCUUUAAAUGGAAGGCAAAUGACAAGCUUGAACAGUUGUUGCCUUUUGAAGGACCAUUCAUGUCCGAGUGAUAUACAUUAAACUUUUUGGGCUGUUUUAUAGGCCGAAGCGAUCGGUUACGUAAUGACCCGUUGUCGUCUAUAUAAAAUUUACAGGCCUAACCUUAUUAGGCCCAAAAUAU